CCAAUAGCGUAUAUUAAAGUUGUUGCAGUUAAAAAGCUCGUAGUUGAAUUUCGGGGUCAGUAGGUCGGGCGUGCCACUGGUAUGAACUGGUUUUACUGAUUCCUCCCUCUUGAAGAACUGUAAUGCCAUUAAUUUGGGGUUGCAGGGAAUCAGGACUGUUACUUUGAAAAAAUUAGAGUGUUUAAAGCAGGCUUUAGCUUGAAUACAUUAGCAUGGAAUAAUGAAAUAGGACGUUUGAUCCUAUUUUGUUGGUUUCUAGGAUUGACGUAAUGAUUAAUAGGGAUAGUUGGGGGCAUUAGUAUUCAAUUGUCAGAGGUGAAAUUCUUGGAUUUAUUGAAGACUAACUACUGCGAAAGCAUUUGCCAAGGAUGUUUUCAUUAAUCAAGAACGAAAGUUAGGGGAUCGAAGACGAUCAGAUACCGUCGUAGUCUUAACCAUAAACUAUGCCGACUAGGGAUCGGAUGAUGUUAAUUUUUUAAUGACUCAUUCGGCGCCUUACG
rnacentral:rRNA from 1 species